AUACCCUGGUAGUCCACGCUGUAAACGAUGAAUACUAGGUGUGGGAGGACUGACCCCUUCCGUGCCGCAGUUAACACAAUAAGUAUUCCACCUGGGGAGUACGACCGCAAGGUUGAAACUCAAAGGAAUUGACGGGGGCCCGCACAAGCAGUGGAUUAUGUGGUUUAAUUCGACGCAACGCGAAGAACCUUACCAGGACUUGACAUCCAACUAACGAAGUAGAGAUACAUUAGGUGCCCUUCGGGGAAAGUUGAGACAGGUGGUGCAUGGUUGUCGUCAGCUCGUGUCGUGAGAUGUUGGGUUAAGUCCCGCAACGAGCGCAACCCCUAUUGUUAGUUGCUACGCAAGAGCACUCUAGCGAGACUGCCGUUGACAAAACGGAGGAAGGCGGGGACGACGUCAAAUCAUCAUGCCCCUUAUGUCCUGGGCUACACACGUAAUACAAUGGUGGUUAACAGAGGGAAGCAAAACCGCGAGGUGGAGCAAAUCCCUAAAAGCCAUCUCAGUUCGGAUUGCAGGCUGCAACUCGCCUGCAUGAAGCUGGAAUUGCU
rnacentral:rRNA from 1 species